UACAGAGGGUGCUAGCGUUGUUCGGAUUCAUUGGGCGUAAAGGGUGCGUAGGCGGUCGGGUAAGUCUGAUGUGAAAUCUCACAGCUUAACUGUGAAACUGCAUUGGAUACUAUUCGGCUUGAGAGUUGGAGGGGGGACUGGAAUUCUUGGUGUAGCAGUGAAAUGCGUAGAUAUCAAGAGGAACACCAGUGGCGAAGGCGGGUCUCUGGGCCGAUACUGACGCUGAGGAGCGAAAGCGUGGGGAGCGAACAGG
rnacentral:rRNA from 1 species